CUUGAAGGCUGGCUCAAAGAUCAUCGGUUGGAUAUCUAUGAUAGUGAGCAUUUACUUAAUACUAAUCUUUGGGUUGACUCUUUACUUCAUCCAAAUAUAUCCAGAGAGACUUUCUUCUGAUACCAAACUGAUAUAUGAUAACUUACCUGCACUGAGAGACGUUACCAUUAUGAUGAUAAUUCUUCAUGUCACUGGCUGUAUUAUGUCUUUGAUUCUUCUGAUUGGAGUAUAUCAG